AAAAAAAUGCACAUGUUUUUAUAACAAAAUGGAUAGUGUUUAUACGACCGCAAAAAUAUUUGCAAUCGUAUAUUGAUAUCACUUCGUCAUCUUCGUCGUCGUUGUCGUCGUCGUCCGAAGACAUUUUGUGUUCGCACAAUAAUUUUAGUUUAAGUUAAUAAAAAUCUUUGAAAUCUAAACACAUGGUAUAUUACCAAAAAAUAAAGGGAUGGUGAAAAUUGGUUUUGGGGUUAUGGCUCAAACCGUAGGCAAAAAAGGGAAAAGACCAAGGGUGUCCUAGAAAAUGGACAAUAACAUAUUA
rnacentral:lncRNA from 1 species